rnacentral:rRNA from 1 species
CACGGAGGGUGCGAGCGUUGUCCGGAAUCACUGGGCGUAAAGGGCGCGUAGGCGGCAUGCCAAGCGUGUGGUGAAAGCCCGGGGCUCAACCCCGGGUCGGCCGUGCGGACUGGCAUGCUCGAGCACUGUAGGGGCGGGUGGAAUUCCUGGUGUAGCGGUGAAAUGCGCAGAUAUCAGGAGGAACACCUAUGGCGAAGGCAGCUCGCUGGGACGGUACUGACGCUGAGACGCGAAAGCGUGGGGAGCGAACAGG